CAAACUGCUGAGGAAAAGGGACCUUCUGAACACGAGUUUAUGUCUGGAGAAGUCUCCUCAAGCAAGAACAUCAUUGAUAAAUGACAUGGCUCAAAUCCUAUGGUGAUAUCAAUAAUGAAUAACAAUUCCAGUCCAGGUAUUAUCUUUGGCUCAGAUACUUGAAUGCCUCGAUAUCCUUUGGGACCAGCUCCUGCGUGACUGGAGCUUUAACGGCACUGCAUUAAGUUCCCCCAUCUCUGCCCGAGGGACAGUAAUCCAUGCCUCCUACCUGCAUGAAGAAUGCCUUCAUCAGCAAACAACAGUUAUUCUGAAGCUGGAAGCUCUCGGUCUUCUUGUUAAGCUGUUUCACUUUGUAUAAAACAAACACUCCUUCACACAGAGAGGGAACCAGUACUGCCUUCUACCGGAGUUUCCUAACCACUCGUCUAUACAUCCAUCUUCAUCUACUUUCUGACACAACAGCAUCCUCUGCAACAGGGCAGCCUGCAUCCCGCAAGACUAUCCUGAUGGCGAAGCUAUGAGGGGAUAAGGUAGAAAAAAUUCCUCCUCCUGUAUGUGUGUGUGGAGGGGGCAGAGGCUUAGCUGGCUAUUCCUGCACUUCAUGCAAGCAAGCUCUUGUUUUAUGACUCCCAGAAGGGCCUUAAUAAGAGGCCAAAAGAAGGGGACCAAUACAGCAUAACAGUGCCAAGACUUAGGCAGAUGUACACGUCCAGCUACAGAAAUUUCAGUUUUCUGUGCUUUUAGGAUCAGGCCUGAGUGUCAUUGUUGCCAGUGUUUUCCCAUAUCGGACUUAGACAACUUGAAAAGGCAUGGGAGUACCUCAUUUUCCCUUCAGAAUCUGAACCUUAAUGUACAGCAUAUUAAACUGUAAAGCAGCUGGACAAGUAUUGCGAUUGACAUCAGAGUAAAAGAAGAUGUAGAAAAACAUUGAAUGAAAUAAAGAUGCUACCAACCCAUACGAGCAGAAGGGAGGAUAUCGUUUCCACCUGGGUCUACAUGUCUACUAUGUAGGUGUCUACAAAGAAAUGUCUAAAUAAGUUAUUCUAGGGCAUUGCUCAUCUGACCUAAGCUAGAUGUCUACUUUAGGAUGAAAUGAAUCUCACCCUGGAAGUGCCUUUUUUAUUUCUUUGCAUUGGCUCUAGGAAGGACUAUUCAGAUGUAGACAUCUGUCAUUGGUUAGAUGAAUCCUGUCCAUGCUCUUUUGCCAAAUUGUACUUGCUGUCUCUCUGUCUGCCUGUCCAACUGUCACUCACCUUCUCUUUCAGCUAUUAGCAGAUAUUAAAAAAUAAAUAACAUUUGGAGAAGGAGUAGUCAUUAUUCACCACAUAUACCAGUGUCAUUUUAUUAUUUUCAGUUAUUCUUUGCUGUGGUAACUCUUAAUAACACUUUCCCAUGUAGUUAGGUUAAACAGUCUAGAAACAGAAAUUAAACAUCAAACAUGAUUUUUCUUUACAAUAGUACUGGAGUAAUAUUAAUGGGGAAAACAGCAAGAAUUACACAGAUUUGCAAAUCUGGCAGUCAUAUUAAAGGUGAAAUAUAUUGUGUGCAUAGCUUUAAUCAGAAUACUGGACAUUUUAAGAGUUCAUUUGUUCUGUCCAAGGUUCCAGAUAACAGAAUGACAAAUUAUGCAGAUAAGUAGGAUCUGUUCUUUCACAUAUCAUACUUGCGCUGGAAAACAGAAGCAGAGCAAUGAGAGCUAUUGUAAAAUAGCAGUGCUGAGAUGAAAGAAUUUCCAAAAUCUGGAACUAAAUCAGUAGACAAAGUCAAUGCAUGAAGUUAUAAACAGUAGUUUAACUUAAUAAUUGUGUCUUAUUCAUAUUCAGUAAA